AUUGAACGCUGGCGGCAGGCCUAACACAUGCAAGUCGAACGCGUGGCAGGCGGGUGAGUAAUAUCUGGGACACUCCCUGAUGGAGGGGGAUAACUUCUAGACACGGUCUCUAAUACCGUAUUCUCUCAGAAGUGCCCAGAUGGGAUUAGAUAGUUGGUGGGGUAAUGGCUCACCAAGGCGACGAUCCCUAGCUGGUCUGAGAGGAUGACCAGCCACGCUGGAACUGAGACACGGUCCAGACUCCUACGGGAGGCAGCAGUGGGGAAUAUUGCACAAUGGGCGCAAGCCUGAUGCAGCCAUGCCGCGGGUAUGAAGAAGGCCUUCGGGUUGGAAAGUACUUUCAGCGGGGAGGCGUUACCGGCAGAAGAAGCACCGGCUAACUCCGUGCCAGCAGCCGCGGUAAUAC
rnacentral:rRNA from 1 species